rnacentral:rRNA from 1 species
UGCCCAGGUCCGUGAGGCGAUUUCCUACGGGAGGCAGCAGUGGGGAAUAUUGGACAAUGGGCGCAAGCCUGAUCCAGCCAUGCCGCGUGGAUGAUGAAGGCCCUAGGGUUGUAAA